rnacentral:ribozyme from 1 species
UACCCAGAAACUCCUAUCCCUACCUCCGUGUGGCAUCGACCGUGCUGCCAGUAACCUUAGGAAACACAGGUAACCAACCCAGGCGGAAACUGGUCGGAAGUUGACAGGGAAGG